GCCAGUAUGGUGUAGUGGUUUGAACAUUGGACUAUGGCUCUGGAGACCAGGGUUCAAAUCCCCACUCAGCCA
rnacentral:tRNA from 1 species